rnacentral:rRNA from 1 species
GAUGAACGCUGGCGGCGUGCCUAAUACAUGCAAGUCGAGCGAACGGACGAGAAGCUUGCUUCUCUGAUGUUAGCGGCGGACGGGUGAGUAACACGUGGAUAACCUACCUAUAAGACUGGGAUAACUUCGGGAAACCGGAUCUAAUACCGGAUGAUAUUUUGAACCGCAUGGUUCAAAAGUGAAAGACGGUCUUGCUGUCACUUAUAGAUGGAUCCGCGCUGCAUUAGCUAGCUGGUAAGGUAACGGCUUACCAAGGCAACGAUGCAUAGCCGACCUGAGAGGGUGAUCGGCCACACUGGAACUGAGACACGGUCCAGACUCCUACGGGAGGCAGCAGUAGGGAAUCUUCCGCAAUGGGCGAAAGCCUGACGGAGCAACGCCGCGUGAGUGAUGAAGGUCUUCGGAUCGUAAAACUCUGUUAUUAGGGAAGAACAUAUGUGUAAGUAACUGUGCACAUCUUGACGGUACCUAAUCAGAAAGCCACGGCUAACUACGUG